AUACCGGGCCUUUUUGGGCUUGGUAAUUGGAAUGAGGGAGAGUUAAACGGACCAUCGAGUAUCCAUUGGAGGGCAAGUCUGGUGCCAGCAGCUGCGGUAAUACCAGCUCCAAUAGCGUAUAUUAAAGUUGUUGCAGUUAAAAAGCUCGUAGUUGGACUUGUGUGCGCUGUCCGCGGGUGGCCUGCGCCCAAAAGGGCGUUUCGGUUCGGCCCCGGUGGCGCCUUGAAAUCUGCAGCUGGGGGGACGUUGGCCUUAACUGGUCGGCGACCGCACGCCGGCUGCUCGGUUACUGUGAGAAAAUUAGAGUGUUCAAGGCAGGCAUUGGGUGCAAUUGAAUACAUUAGCAUGGAAUAAUAAAAUAUGGCUCCUGCCGUAUUUUGUUGGUUUUGACUGGUGGGAGUAAUGAUUGAUAGGGACGGUUGGGGGUGCUAGUAUUGAGCGGCCAGAGGUGAAAUUCAUGGAUUCGCUCAAGACUAACUUAUGCGAAAGCAUUCACCAAGGACGUCCUCUUUAAUCAAGAACGAAAGUUGGGGGAUCGAAGACGAUCAGAUACCGUCGUAGUCUCAACCAUAAACUAUGUCGACUUGGGAUCGGCGGUAGUUUUUUCAUUAAGACACUGUCGGGACCACGGGAGAAAUCAAAGUGUCUGGACUCUGGGGGAAGUAUGGUCGCAAGGCUGAAACUUGAAGGAAUUGACGGAAGGGCACCACCAGGAGUGGAGCCUGCGGCUUAAUUUGACUCAACACGGGGAAACUUACCAGGUCCAGAGAUGUAGAGGAUUGACAGAUUGAAGCUCUUUCUUGAUCACUUCGGUGGUGGUGCAUGGCCGUUCUUAGUUGGUGGAGUGAUUUGUCUGGUUAACUCCGUUAACGAACGAGACCUCAGCCUGCUAGUGUAGUCGGCUGGAUUGCCUUUGGCGAUCCGUGAUUUCGACUUCUUAGAGGGACAAUCGAUGCGCAGUCGAUGGAAGUUUGAGGCAAUAACAGGUCUGUGAUGCCCUUAGAUGUUCUGGGCCGCACGCGCGCUACACUGCUGGGCUCAGCGAGUUUUACUUGGCCGAGAGGCCCGGUUAAUCUUGUGAAAUCCCAGCGUGCUUGGGCUCGCCUCCUGCAACUGGAGGCGCCAACGAGGAAUUCCUAGUAGACGCAGGUCAUCAACCUGCAUCGAUUACGUCCCUGCCCUUUGUACACACCGCCCGUCGUUCCAUAAGAGUGAGGCAUCCGGUGAAUUCUCGGGAGAGCCUGGGCGUGGCCAGCAAUGGUCUGCUCGGGUUUGAACUUGCAUAAACUUGGUGCCUAUGAUUAGGG
rnacentral:rRNA from 1 species